CAGUCGCCACGGUAAUACGAAGGGUGCAAGCGUUACUCGGAAUUACUGGGCGUAAAGCGUGCGUAGGUGGUGGUUUAAGUCCGUUGUGAAAGCCCUGGGCUCAACCUGGGAAUUGCAGUGGAUACUGGGUCACUAGAGUGUGGUAGAGGAUAGUGGAAUUUCCGGUGUAGCAGUGAAAUGCGUAGAGAUCGGAAGGAACAUCUGUGGCGAAGGCGACUAUCUGGGCCAACACUGACACUGAGGCACGAAAGCGUGGGGAGCAAACAGGAUUAGAUACCCCGGUAGUCCCUGUCUCUUAUAU
rnacentral:rRNA from 1 species